GACGAGCGCUGGCGGCGUGCCUAAUACAUGCAAGUUGAGCGAUGAAGAUUGGUGCUUGCACCAAUUUGAAGAGCAGCGAACGGGUGAGUAACGCGUGGGGAAUCUGCCUUUGAGCGGGGGACAACAUUUGGAAACGAAUGCUAAUACCGCAUAACAACUUUAAACAUAAGUUUUAAGUUUGAAAGAUGCAAUUGCAUCACUCAAAGAUGAUCCCGCGUUGUAUUAGCUAGUUGGUGAGGUAAAGGCUCACCAAGGCGAUGAUACAUAGCCGACCUGAGAGGGUGAUCGGCCACAUUGGGACUGAGACACGGCCCAAACUCCUACAGGAGGCAGCAGUAGGGAAUCUUCGGCAAUGGACGAAAGUCUGACCGAGCAACGCCGCGUGAGUGAAGAAGGUUUUCGGAUCGUAAAACUCUGUUGGUAGAGAAGAACGUUGGUGAGAGUGGAAAGCUCAUCAAGUGACGGUAACUACCCAGAAAGGGACGGCUAACUACGUG
rnacentral:rRNA from 1 species